rnacentral:rRNA from 1 species
CCCUUAGACGUUGUGGGCCGCACGCGCGCUACACUGACCAGUGCAACAAGCAUCCGUCCUUGGCCGACAGGCUCGGGCAAUCUUUGAACGCUGGUCGUGAUGGGGAUAGACUUUUGCAAUUUUUGGUCUUCAACGAGGAAUUCCUAGUAAACGCAAGUCAUCAACUUGCAUUGAUUACGUCCCUGCCCUUUGUACACACCGCCCGUCGCACCUACCGAUUGAAUGGUCCGGUGAAGCCUCCGGAUUGGCGCGCACCCCGGUGCCGCCGAGAAGUUGGCUAAACCUUACCAUUUAGAGGAAGGUGAAGUCGUAACA